rnacentral:rRNA from 1 species
UACGAAGGGGGCUAGCGUUGCUCGGAAUUACUGGGCGUAAAGCGCACGUAGGCGGAUCUUUAAGUCAGGGGUGAAAUCCUGGAGCUCAACUCCAGAACUGCCUUUGAUACUGAGGAUCUCGAGUCCGGGAGAGGUGAGUGGAACUCCGAGUGUAGAGGUGAAAUUCGUAGAUAUUCGGAAGAACACCAGUGGCGAAGGCGGCUCACUGGCCCGGUACUGACGCUGAGGUGCGAAAGCGUGGGGAGCAAACAGG